rnacentral:rRNA from 1 species
AAUGAUACCCGGGUAGUCCACGCCGUAAACGAUGAGUGCUAGGUGUUAGGGGGUCCAACCCUUAGUGCCGAAGUUAACACAUUAAGCACUCCGCCUGGGGAGUACGGUCGCAAGACUGAAACUCAAAGGAAUUGACGGGGGCCCGCACAAGCGGUGGAGCAUGUGGUUUAAUUCGAAGCAACGCGAAGAACCUUACCAGGGCUUGACAUCCCUCUGACCGUUCUAGAGAUAGAGCUUCCCUUCGGGGCAGAGGUGACAGGUGGUGCAUGGUUGUCGUCAGCUCGUGUCGUGAGAUGUUGGGUUAAGUCCCGCAACGAGCGCAACCCUUGUCCUUAGUUGCCAGCAUUCAGUUGGGCACUCUAGGGAGACUGCCGGUGACAAACCGGAGGAAGGUGGGGAUGACGUCAAAUCAUCAUGCCCCUUAUGUCCUGGGCUACACACGUGCUACAAUGGCUGGUACAAAGGGUAGCGAAGCAGUGAUGUGGAGCCAAUCCCAAAAAGCCAGUCACAGUUCGGAUUGUAGGCUGC